GUCACUUUGCCGGAGUGGUUAACGGGAUCGCCUGCUAUUCAUAGUUGCCAGCGGUUGGGCUUUGCCCGCGAGUGUUCGAAUCGCUCAGGUGACG
rnacentral:tRNA from 1 species